rnacentral:rRNA from 1 species
GCCUUAGUAGCGGCGAGUGAAGCGGCAAAAGCUCAAAUUUGAAAUCUGGCUCUUUCAGAGUCCGAGUUGUAAUUUGAAGAAGGUAUCUUUGGGUCUGGCUCUUGUCUAUGUUUCUUGGAACAGAACGUCACAGAGGGUGAGAAUCCCGUGCGAUGAGAUGAUCCAGGCCUAUGUAAAGUUCCUUCGAAGAGUCGAGUUGUUUGGGAAUGCAGCUCUAAGUGGGUGGUAAAUUCCAUCUAAAGCUAAAUAUUGGCGAGAGACCGAUAGCGAACAAGUACAGUGAUGGAAAGAUGAAAAGAACUUUGAAAAGAGAGUGAAAAAGUACGUGAAAUUGUUGAAAGGGAAGGGCUUGAGAUCAGACUUGGUAUUUUGUAUGUUACUUCUUCGGGGGUGGCCUCUACAGUUUAUCGGGCCAGCAUCAGUUUGGGCGGUAGGAGAAUUGCGUUGGAAUGUGGCACGGCUUCGGUUGUGUGUUAUAGCCUUCGUCGAUACUGCCAGCCUAGACUGAGGACUGCGGUUUAUACCUAGGAUGUUGGCAUAAUGAUCUUAAGUCGC